UACGGAGGGUGCAAGCGUUAUCCGGAUUCACUGGGUUUAAAGGGUGCGUAGGAGGGUAGGUAAGUCAGGGGUGAAAUCCCGGAGCUCAACUCCGGAACUGCCUUUGAUACUGAGGAUCUCGAGUUCGGGAGAGGUGAGUGGAACUGCGAGUGUAGAGGUGAAAUUCGUAGAUAUUCGCAAGAACACCAGUGGCGAAGGCGGCUCACUGGCCCGAUACUGACGCUGGAGGUGCGAAAGCGUGGGGAGCAAACAGG
rnacentral:rRNA from 1 species